CCUUUCCUCUCAGACCCAAAAUCACUUCUGUUCUCUCUCCUCUCACCACUCGACUUCAUAAACCAAACCAUUCCUUUUCCGCUAUUUAACCAAAAUCCAAUCUUUGAACACAAACCAAGCCCAUAAUUUUCGUGGGUUUUCCGGGAAAGCAAUUGGGUUUUUGUUUGAAAGGAAGUUAAGGGUUUUGUGAAUGCAAAAAGAGGAUGGCGUUGAUGAAGCUGGGGAGCAGAGUAGAGGGGAGAGUACUAUGCCGGAGCGGUUUAGGUGCUUGACCUAAGAAACUCCUGACCAUCCUCUGAGGUGGCCUUUGUUUCUGGAUGACCCAGCACAAUGUUGCAGCCUUGGUGCUCGUGAAACCUGGAGAGCAAAAUCCAUUGCAGGAAUCAUAACAGAGAGAGAUAUUUUCGCCAUGCUUCAUGUGAGAUGUAUGACAUUUCUCAAGGUCUGGCCAAAUUUGUUUGAAUAAAUAGAGAUAUUCUCCGUACCUAUGCGCAUGAUGAUGUCAGUGUCGGAUCUUGGUUUAUUGGGCUUGAUGUUAAACAUCUUAAUGACGCCAAGUUUUGCUGCUCCUCUUGGACAGGAGGAGCCAUUUGUGCUGGUGUAUGAUUUGAUUUGCUUUGAGGUGGUGGAUCAAAGUAAAACCAGAUGCAAGGAGAUGGGUUAAAAGACAUUGGAUUCAUAUCGAUCCGUGAGAUGUUUGCAGCCUGCACAAUAUAGAGUAUGAAGAUUGAGGAAAAAUCAUAGUUGUGAUUGAGAAUUUAUUCCAGUGUCUUACCCGUAGGUGAAGUAGCUUUGUUCCCAUUACAGUACACUGCAGAUAGGAAAGAAAGGAUUUCAACAAAUUAUGCUUAGUUGGCAGUCGGUACUUUAUAGGUUCAGUAACACAAAUUUUACAGUGUAAUAGAGGGUGUUCUUAUCGCAACAUAAUCACUCAUUUCUUUUGUAGCAUGUUAAUUUGCCUUGGGUUAUUCAUUAUUCAGAGCAGUAAAAAUUUU